UACGUAGGGUGCAAGCGUUGUCCGGAAUUAUUGGGCGUAAAGAGCUCGUAGGCGGUUUGUCGCGUCUGCUGUGAAAAUCCAGGGCUUAACCCUGGACCUGCAGUGGGUACGGGCAGACUAGAGUGCGGUAGGGGAGAUCGGAAUUCCUGGUGUAGCGGUGAAAUGCGCAGAUAUCAGGAGGAACACCGGUGGCGAAGGCGGGUCUCUGGGCCGAUACUGACGCUGAGGAGCGAAAGCGUGGGGAGCGAACAGG
rnacentral:rRNA from 1 species